UGUUGCUGGCAAUAAACUAGACAUAUCAGAAUCAAGACAGGUUACUGCUUCAAAAGGUGAAGACUGAAGAAUUAUGCUAAUGCCAUAUUUAUGGAGUGCAGUGCUAAAGAUGUUACCAAUGUAAAAGAUCAUUUCUCUAGAAUAGCUGAUACUAUACCAUUAGAUAAAUUAAAUAUCGAUUUAAAACUCAGUACGGUCAAAUUAAACAGAAAAUCCGGACACUCGAGCUCAGGUUGUUCCUGUUGAAAUGAGAAA